AAAAUUUUUUGUUUGUUUUUUUUUUUGUUUUUUCAUCAAAAAAAAAGGGACAUUUUUUCCACAAAAUACUGCCGAAAUUAGGAGAGUAAAUGAUGAGAUAAAACCUUUUGUAGAUAAAUGUCCCCUUUUUCUUAACAUCUUAAUAUAAAUAUAAUCUACAAAUAUUGUGUUUUCUUGUUUUUUCGCAAAUAUUAAGUUGUUUUAAAAGCUCGUAGCGUUUAUAUUUUUGCCUUUAUGCACCGCCCAAAACUUAUCAUCAUUUCCAGGCAAAAUAUUAUAAUGCGGGAUUUGUAAAACGGAGUUUCUAGGCUACUAAAACCGACCAGAAAUGUAUGAAAAAAAUUAUGUUGCUCUCUAGAAAACAAUUUCGACUUUGUCCGCCCAGCACUUGGUUCCAGUUAAUUUCUGUCAGUGCCUUUAAAAAAAAAAAAAAAAUAAAAAUAAUUGACCAUCAAAUGUCUUGAGAGCACAUUUAGCGUUGGAACAAUAAAUGUCCCGGUUAUUGGGUAACUGUCAGUUAAUUUCAAUUCAAAAGCUAAGAUCUUGCAAGCGACAGAACGAAUAAAGCUAUUGAGGGAUAUUGAGACGGCUAGCUCUGCUCAUUUUCAGACAAUUCCUGUACGAAAGUUUACCUAAUGCCAGCCAUUGAAGUCUUCGAGAAAUGUCAAGAGAAGAGGUAUAAAGUAUUAUUUUUCUAACACACAAUCAAUGUCUCGGUCAUCGGGUAAUUCUCAAUUAAUUUCAAUUGAAAAGCUAAGACCUUGCAAGCGACUGAACGAAUAAAGCUAUAGGAUACUGAGUCGGCUACUUCUUCUCUUACUUAGACAAUUUCUGUACAAAAGUCUACCUCUUGCCAGCCAUUGAACUCUUAGAAAAAUGUCAAGAGAAGAGGUAUAAAGUAUUAUUUUUAAAAAAAGUUUCUAACGUUCUUGGCGAUUUAUAUCAGUCCUAGGGAAGAUGGAAGAUAGUGUCCCUGUAAAAUCCAAAGAGCUCGUAAGACGCACUAAGCUAAGAGCGUACAAACUCGUCUUCCUUAAGAUUAUGGUGUUAUCAUACUUAAUACAAAAUGCUCUAAAGCACGAAGAAACACCCAAUUUAUAUAGUCUAGGUGUUCUGAAAAACACCAGCUAUUCCAAGAAUAUUUAUAUAUGUAUAUCAUUAGACCGUAAGCUUUUUUAUCCCUUGCUAAAACCACAAGUCGUUAUAAAAGUUAAUAUUCAAACGUUUAAACAAGAGAAUGCAUCGAGUUCGCCUUUAAUUUCAGUACCCUGCGACAACAAAUGACCUCCACUGACCUCUACUCAAAACAUACGCGACAUCAUUCUCCAUAACUGUGAAGGAACGUAACAGCUUUCCCUUCGAACUCAGGCUUGUUAACGUUUCGAAAGAUGGGAUCAAUGUAUUAGUUAAGGGCCAAAAAAUAUUUUUUUUUAAAUCGAUCAAUUUAUUGUGAAACACUUAUUGUAUGAGAAGCUUUUCGGUGAAGGAAAGGUCACUAAUAGAACUUUUAAAGCAACUCGAAUUAUUUCUCUUUUCUUUUCUUUUCUUCUCGUUUUUUUUUUUUUAUUAUUAUUAUUUAUAUAUCGCUUAAUAUCAAUAAUUUACGAGUUUACGUGUUUUGCUUUCGAGUUUGUUUCGCUUGUUAUUUUAAUUUAUUUUGCUUGUCAAAAAAAAAAAAAAAA